UCGUACAGUGUCUCGAUCGUUACGGG
rnacentral:sRNA from 1 species